UCUCCGUUGGUGAACCAGCGGAGGGAUCAUUACCGAGUUUACAACUCACAAACCCCUGUGAACAUACCAUUUGUUGCCUCGGCGGUGCCUGCUUCGGCAGCCCGCCAGAGGACCCAAACCCUUGAUUUUAUACAGUAUCUUCUGAGUAAAUGAUUAAAUAAAUCAAAACUUUCAACAACGGAUCUCUUGGUUCUG
rnacentral:misc_RNA from 1 species